UCUUUUCAGGCCACGUCUGUUUUCUGCAGCUUUGAUCCCAUCAUGCUCUCUGAUUCUGAGAACUUAAGAAAAUGAAAGCUUUGAGUGUGUCUUGAAUUGAUGCCACAACGCCUACUGGUUCCUGCUCAUCUGAUGCAUCUUUCUCUUGUUUCUGGUUUUUUGUGCCUGUUGGUUCAUCUUGAAUCAAAUCUAAGAAGUGAUUGAUGGAUCAAUGGGAGAAAAGCAUUAAAUAAAAUAUCAUGAAUGCAACUCCCACUGACAACAGUAGAUGGUAUUUAGGCAGUAGAUAGUGGUAAUAACAUGUACAAUCAAAUGCCAAGCCAAAUGGGAUAUUUCAAUUUAAAAAAUACCUGGUUCCAAAACUGGCUCUACUUGAGGAACUUGAACUGAAUCUUCACCUGCUUCCAAAACUGGCUCUUCUCGAGGAACUUCUUCACCUGGUUCCAAAACUGGCUCAACUCGAGGAACUUGGACUGAAUCUUCUCCUGUUCUCUGUGAUACCUGGUUCCAAAACUGGCUCUACUUGAGGAACUUGAACUGAAUCUUCACCUGCUUCCAAAACUGGCUCUACUCGAGGAACUUCUUCACCUGCUUCCAAAACUGACUCUACUCGAGGAACUUGGACUGAAUCUUCUCCUGUUCUCUGUGAUACCUGGUACCAAAACUGGCUCUACUUGAGGAACUUGAACUGAAUCUUCACCUGCUUCCAAAACUGGCUCUACUCGAGGAACUUCUUCACCUGCUUCCAAAACUGGCUCUACUCGAGGAACUUCUUCACCUGCUUCCAAAACUGGCUCUACUCGAGGAACUUGGACUGAAUCUUCUCCUGUUCUCUGUGAGCGGCAGAAUCAGUUCCGAUGCUUUGCAGUCCUGGACACACUUCCUCCAGUCCUCUGCCAGGAGCAUUUGUAGGUCCUUGUUAGACGAGGAGCGAAAAUGAAGUAAGGGAGGGUAUGAAGAACUAUCUAGCUCGUCAGGUCCAUCAUGAAACAUCACACUGCCGUCAAUUAACGACCACCACAUGUUUUCUCCACCAUACAUGAAGUCAGCAAUUCUCUGGUAAUGUGCUUGAAAUAGAGUUGGUCUUCUGCGUAUAAAAUCUAUAUCAAAUUUUGUGUUCUCUGGCUUUGGUAGGAGUUUUGCCUGGUGGCUAAUAAUUGAUUCUUGGUGUCGUACAUAGUCUUUUUUUUGUUCCACUCAUCUGUUGGGCAUUGUAUCUUAACACAGCAUUGUCGAUUAUUUUGCCGCAUUGCCUGUUGGCUGUAUUUAAGGAAAUGCUGCGAAGAUCACCAAAUGUCCUUUCCUCUUGCUCUGGUAUGAGUGAGCGUAGACACACUAAUCUGUAAGUUUCAGGUGUGUGAACGGUCAGGCUAUGAAAGUGGCAGCCAUAGAAUUUUCUUGCAGUCAUUUUCUUUGGUAUGCUGAUAACUGUUUUUGAAAGGAUGCUGAAUUUAAAGCAUAGAUUGUACAGUCGAAGAAUUUUCUUUUGUGUUCUCUGUUCAUAUGGACUAUAGCAAAUGGAUAUUAUUUCUACUAAUGAUGUGCAAAGGUCGUAAAUAUCUUUACUGAU